GCUAACUUCCGUAAACUCUCAGCGUUUGUCGUCGCAUAUAUCUGCAAGCCUCCUAUAAACAUAUUCUUUGGUACAGCUUUACGUUUGUUGUGCGAAUUUUGUAGUCAAGAAGAGUAGAUAAUAUUUUUCCCACAGUGCAAUUUUUGUUUUUGUCCAUUUUGUUAACAUGAGUGUAUUUUCUUUGAAUCAGCUGGGGGUAAAAUGGGAAAAAAUUAUGAUUGAAAAAUUACUUCACCAAAUGUGUCCUAAUGAAGAUUUUGAUCCUGAAACUAAGGAGGUUCUUGAAAGAGCAGCUGUUGAUGUCUUUAACACUGUCCUGAUAAAAUCAUGUGAGUUUGUUAAAUGUUCAAGAUCAGACAGUAAAGUUCUGAAAGGCGAAGAUUUAUUGUUCUUUUUACGUCAAAACUGUGGUAUUGAUCCUAAAGAAUUUUCAUUUCUUGAUUAUUAUUAUCCUCAUUCUCCACCAUAUGGAAAAACAAUGAUGCCAGUAAAAGUCAUUGAGAAGCAAUUCCUAAAAAGAAAAGGAAAUGUGAUAUGUAAAUUACCAAGAUCCGAAAAGAAAAACGUUAAAUCUACAGAGGUGAAUAAGCUGACAAAAAAUAAAGUGAAGAAUGUGACAACAUAUAAGGUGGAUAAGGUAAAUAAUCGGUCAAAAAACAGAGUAAAGUCAGUUACAAAAAAUAAGGUAAAGAAGGUGGCAAAAAACAUGGUGAAUAGGAUGACAAGGAGUAAGAAAAUUUCAUUUCAUACAAAUGCCAAUUAUUCUGAAGAUAAAUGUUCAAAAAUUAUUAGGAAAUCCCUAUCAAAAAAGACUGCUAAUACACUUACACAAGCUAAUUCCUGUGUAUCAUUUCAAGAAAAGUCGCAGGAAAAUUUUAAAAAGGCAGAAAGUUUUGGAAAUUACUCUAUCAUGCGUAAAGUAGAGCUGUCUAGUAGCCAGGUAUCAUCAUCAGAGAUUCCACGUCAUCAUGCUUCUAGUUCAAAGCAAAAUGAAUUUCUUAUAUCUGGAGAUCGGUCACCUAAAAGACAGCUUCUCAGCUCAUCUUUCGACAAUGCAUGCAAUUUUAUUCCUGAAAUUAAGGCCCCUCAGACUUUUAAAGAAAAUGAGUUUUUUAUGUAUAAGGGUAAACCUUCAAAGAAACAGCCAAGCUCUUCUAACAGUACAUUUAACUCUGUUCCUGAAGCUGUAAUAGUAUCAGGUGCAAAAGGAAACAAACUGUCAACAAAUAGGGUAAAGAAGGUGAUGAAAAAUGAGGCAGAGAAGGUUACAAAAGAUGAGGCAAAGAAGAGGAAAAAUAUUAAUGUGAAUAAGGUUGUAAACAAUAAGAAAAUCUCAUUUCUGGUUCAGAAUGAUGGAAAUUCUUCUGAAGCUAAAAAUUCAAAAAUGAUUAUAAAUAAAAAUUUGGAAAAUUUUGGAAGUCACUCUGUCAUACAGAAAGCAGGGCUCUGUAAAUACCAGGUAUCAUCUUCAGACAUUUCAUUUCAUCUUUCUUUUGGUUCAAAUGAAAAUGAAUUUCUUACAUCUGGAGGACAUUCUUCUGAAAGACAGCAUCCCAGCUUAUCUUUAGACGGUACAUAUAAUGUUUUUCCAGAGACAUCUCGGACUUUAAAAGAAAAUGAGUCUAUUAUGUGUAAAUCUAAACCUUCAAAGAAAUUACCAAGCUGUUUUUCUAACAGUGCAUUUAACUCUGUUUGUGAAGCUGUAAUAGAAUCAAGUUCGAAAGGAAAUAAAAUUAACUGUGAAACCCCGCCAUCCAGAAGGCAAUAUCCCAUCUUUAAUCCAUGCACCACAUCAAGUUAUGAAUCCACACCUUCAAGAAGUUCCAGAGCAGGUAGAGUAUCUGAAUUUGUUUUUAAACAAAUGGUAAUAGUAUCAAAUUGCAAACAAAGUAAAUCUGUUGUUGUAUGUGAAGCUCACUCAUCUGAAAUGCAUUCUAGACCUUCUUUAGAUGUUAAAUUUAGAUUAGAUAAUGAAGCUGAAGCAACAGUCAGUUCAAAAGGAAAUGCAGUGAACCCACAUAAAUGGCAGCAUUCCUGCUAUUCCUCAGAUAGCAACUCUUAUUUUGUUUCUAAACCUGCUACAGUAUCAAAUUACAAAAAAAAAUAAACCUAUUAUAUGUGAAGCUCAGUCAUCUACAACUGAGUGUCAAACUUCUUCCAGCAUUCCAUAUCCAGCAUUGUUUCUUGAGUUAUAGUAAUAGAUAACUUGAAAAGUCAUAGACAAGUUCAAUGUGAAGCAGCACCAUUCAAAAACCAGUAGCCCAUGUCUUCAAACAAUACAUCAAAUUAUGAUACUAAAUCUACAGAUCCCUAAAAAAGUAAAUCUUGCACAUAAAGGCAAGUUGUCUCAAAGUUGUAGACUGGUUGAAUGUGAAGUUGCACUAUUCAACAAAAAGCAUUAUCCCAUGUCUUCUUCAAAUACUACAUCAAAUUAUGUUUUGAAACCCACAGAUCCUAAAAGAAGUAAAUCCAUUCUACAUGAAGGCCAGUUGCCUAAAAUCUGUAGACAAGUUGAGUGCACCAUUCAAAAAGCAGUAUCCUGUGUCUUCUUCAAACAUCACAAGUGGAACUGAGACAAUAUCUGAUUCAGAAGGAUGUAGAUUUGAUGUAUAAAAAUACUGGCUAUAUAAGUGGAAGCACUUCAUAUCUAAAUUUGUUCCUAAAGCUAAAAGAGUGCCAAAUUACAAAAAUAAUUACAUGUGUUCAGCUCAGUCAAAAGAGAAACAAUGAACUUGCAAAAAUAACAAUACUCACGAGCUUACAAAAGUAAUUAAACUUGUGAAGCUUAGUCAUAUACUGUAGAGCAUCUAAACUCUUCUUCAGAUGCUGUAUUGGAUUUUAUCAUUAAAUCUGGAACAUUUCCAGAUUUGAAAAGGAAUGAACCUGUUAUGUUUAAAACUCGGCCUUCUAUCGACAGGUAUGGUAGUACGUAGUGCAACAGGUCAUAAAUUGAUUGAUUUUAAAGCUGAGUGAUGUAGAAGGUACUGUCCUGUGGUAUCUUAAUUAGUACAUCAGGUGACAUUUUUAAACCUGCUGUGUCAAAUUCCAGAAAAGAAUGAAAUUAUUCCAUGUAAUUAAUUAUAUUAAUGAAUCUAAAGCAAUGCUUAUUUCCAAAAGAUCUCUCAUCUGUGAAGCUCACCUUUUUGUCUUCCAAUCUCUUCUUACCAUGCUUGUAACUCUGUGUCAAGUGUGAAAUUGAGCAUUUGAAAAGCAAUAUUCUAACUCUUCUUUAGGAACCAUAGUAAUUUUUUUAAUAUUAUUUUCAGCAUCUGCUUCCAAAGGAAAUAAAUUUGUGAAACUUAGUUAACAAAAAGGCAAAUUAAAGACUCACCUUUGAGUAAUACAUUUACUGUCAUUGGUUCUUAUGUUUAUAAAGCUAUAAGAGUACCAAGUUCUAAAGAGAACGAGUCUAUUAUUCUUGAAGCUCAAUCUUCUGACUGAAGUUGCAUGCGGUAUCUGAGGAAGAGUUUUUUUCCUAAACCUGAGAAUACAUCAGGUAUCAAAAAAAGAGAAAAAAUUUCUUCCAAAUUCUGUGGUGUUCUUCAGAUAUUAUUUUUUUUUAAACAGAACCUGAAACAUUUUCAAGUACAGAAGAAAAUGCAUCCAUUAUAUAUAAAAUUCAGGCUUCUAAAAAGUUUCCAAACUCUUAAGUCUGCUCUAAGUUUUGUCUGGGACAUGUGAUGAUACCUAAUUCAAAAGGAAAGAAAUAUGGAUUUUAAAUAUAUAAGCAGUGAUAUUCCCAUGUCUCCUUCAAGUAUUCCAUCAAAUCAUAUUUCCACACUAAUAUCAACAUCAGCUUCUGAAAAGAGUAUAUAUGUAAUACAGUAUAAAAGUCCAAGAUCUGGACAUCUAGUAUCCGGAAUGAUCUAAAAUCCAGACCUCAAAGCCACCAACAAUUUUUUGAUAGCCUUUAUGCGUGUGCAUUCCUACAUAAUAAAACGUGGAGAGUUCCGACUAUUAAUUUCAAACUGGCACUAAAUAAAAUACCUAAUUUUUUUUUUAAUCCUACACCCGUCUGCCGCACUUCUGCCAUUAAGCAACGAGCAGCCCAGUAAAAUGAAAACGAAUGAAGAUGAGAAUUAAAACUAGCAUCAUGUCCAGUUAGCGUUCAGAAACAAGCAACUCCAACAGAUCAAGGCAAAGAGUUGGGAAUUUUAUUCUUUUUGUUAAGCAGGAUGUUCCACAUCUUACCCACAGCUGCAUCUCUUAUAUGUAAAAAGUCAUCACAUAUAAAGAGCUUUGCUGCUUCAGCUGUGGAUUCAGGAACAUUAGUCCUGCGAGUUAUUUCCAGGAUUAACCAAAUAUUCUUCAAGGACAGGAGGAUUCUCAUUGACCAUUCAUCUACUUCUUCAGAACUGCUAGAAAUAGUUCUUUGAGUGAACACUCGAUAGCGUGGAAUAAUGUCAUCAUCACCUUUUCUUCGUUAUCUUGACUUUUGGGAUUACUAUCGUGUGAAAAAUCCAAUCAUGUAUCAGCUUUUUUUGUAUGAAUGGCUCUUUUUAUCAAUUUUGUAACCCAUAAUAAUAAUAAAGCUUCAAAUUUACAAAA